UGAGCCAUUAGCUCAGCUGGUAGAGCAACUGACUUGUAAUCAGUAGGUUGGGGGUUCAAGUCCUCUGGCCGGC
rnacentral:tRNA from 1 species